rnacentral:lncRNA from 1 species
CAAGUCCCGACAACAGACACCACUCCACUCUCCGCAACGAGCUCCACGUGGCCCUGAACGACCCCUGAUGCCACUACUCUCCGUAACAAACUCCAUGCGGCUCUAAGCGGUCCACUACCUGACGGUUACAGAUGUCGUUGUCAGUCAGUUACACCCUCUGUCUAUAAAUAAGGAACCCCCAGACACGUUCUUCUAAAAGCUAGUAACUCUAUCUCGAAACUCUGCCAAAACUUCUGCUCGAGCACUCCAUUUUUGUUGAAGCAGAGUACUGACUUGAGCGUCAGAGGGUCUUGCCGGAGCACCCCCAACUCCGGUUUAGACUUUCUUUGCAGGUCCCGACGGCGGCCGC